rnacentral:rRNA from 1 species
UACGAAGGGGGCUAGCGUUGCUCGGAAUCACUGGGCGUAAAGCGCACGUAGGCGGAUUGUUAAGUCAGGGGUGAAAUCCUGGAGCUCAACUCCAGAACUGCCUUUGAUACUGGCGAUCUUGAGUCCGGGAGAGGUGGAGUGGAACUUGGCGAGUGUAGAGGUGAAAUUCGUAGAUAUUCGCAAGAACACCAAGUGGCGGAAGGCGGAGCUCGACCUGGCCCCGAG